rnacentral:tRNA from 1 species
GGGGUUGUAGCUCAGUGGUAGAGCACUUGCCUAGCACAUACGAGGCACUGGGUUUGAUCCUCAGCACCACA